rnacentral:rRNA from 1 species
UACAUGCAAGUUGAACGGACUGUGGUAAUUAUGAUUGAAGAGCUUGCUCGGAGAGAUUAAUUACAAUGCAGUCAGUGGCGAACGGGUGAGUAACACGUGGGAAACCUACCUCUUAGCAGGGGAUAACAUUUGGAAACAGAUGCUAAUACCGUAUAACAAUUAGAACCGCAUGGUUCAAGUUUAAAAGAUGGUUCUGCUAUCACUAAGAGAUGGUCCCGCGGCGUAUUAGCUAGAUGGUGAGGUAAUGGCUCACCAUGGCAAUGAUACGUAGCCGAGUUGAGAGACUGAUCGGCCACAUUGGGACUGAGACACGGCCCAAACUCCUACGGGAGGCAGCAGUAGGGAAUCUUCCACAAUGGACGAAAGUCUGAUGGAGCAACGCCGCGUGUGUGAUGAAGGCUUUCGGGUCGUAAAACACUGUUAUAAGAGAAGAACGUCAGUGAGAGUAACUGUUCAUUGAGUGACGGUAUCUUAUCAGAAAGGGACGGCUAAAUACGUG